AGCUUAGAAAUACACAAGAGUGUGUAUAGAGCUGGUAAGUAAGAUAUUGAACAGUUGAGUUUAGAAUAGGGUAGCAGAGAAUGAGUUUAGCUGAGCUGAGAUAAACACGUUUUUAUUCUGCCCAAAAGAAGCCUUUCUUUUGGGUUUAUUUC
rfam:Bacillus amyloliquefaciens FZB42, complete genome.